AUACCAAAUAAUCUUGUUGAAUCUAAUAAUCUUGUGCAUUGACCACUCUGACAUAGUGUAGUAGAUGCUUGUUGAUUUUAAAAAGGCACAAUGACUCUAACUGUUAUUCUUUCUCAAUCUGCAACCUAGUUUCAUGACAAAUUAUAUUAGAUACAUGAGCAGUUGUACUUGUACUGAGUCCCCUUGCUGUUUUAACCCCUUUAAUUCGAGAAUCUGGAAACUAGAAUUUAUAGAUUUGGUAAUUUGAUACUUUAUGUUGUACUGCUGUUCUGUGUUCUGUGUUCUAUGUUCUAUCAUCUGAUCCUGAAUUCUUGUCCAAUGCACUGUAGAUUGUUAUUAAUCCCAAAUUGGAAAUCCUUGAUACAUUUCAACUCCAGUGCAAGCUUAAGGAUAUUUGUUUCCCUUACAUUUAGUGUUAUAAGAUAUCCAAGACCGGGAGGACUACAAGUCUACAGUAUUGGUGGAUUUCCAGUGUUGAGGUGUACAAGGAUAAAGUUUGUGUAUUUCAUUCUGGCCCUGGAAUUAAUGGAAGUGAUGGGAAUUCGAUAGUGAAGUGGUAUUUUCAGUUCCUCAUUUGAAAAGCUUGGUCUUUAAUUAAUGGCUUUAGUUUGUGGCUAUAAUUAUUAAAAUUUCUACUCUUUUUGCUCCUACAUGUUUCAUCUCUGUUAUGUUAUUUCUUGGGUUGUUAAUCUUCUAAAUUUAUCAGGGGGAAUAUUGGUGCUUCAGUUCACAGAACUUCCAAAAAACUUGCCAUUGGUGGAAAACCUCCAUAUCUCACGGUAAUGACAAAAGUUUGUCCAACCUAGUAGCAAUUAUAUGUAGAGACUCAAAUAUUUUGCAGUAGAAAUCUAUCUUUGAAAAUAAUCAUGUAUAGAUUAGUGUCGUCCCUUAUGUGAUUAGAUGCCUUUCUUAGAAAGAGAACCUAUUUGCAUUCACUUCCAGGGAGCUUUAUUAUGAAGCAAACAAAACUACUCUUGGAGAUGGUUCAUGAAAUGUGUAGUUGGAUUUUUUGAGGAAGGUGAAUUUAUUGAAUCAAGGGUUAAAAUUAAGCAUUUUGUUCUAGGUUGUUAUCUGGAAGUUAGAUUUACAACUGACUUCUUUUUGAAAAGUGCUCUUUUUUUAUAGCCUUUCCUUGAGAUGUUUGGAUAUGGUGGAACUAUUGCUUCUAUGCAUUUAGGGAGGUAUGAUAAUGGAGUCUCCUUACUGUUGAGUAUGGAAUCUUUUUUUUUUUUUUGGCAUUUUUCCGUAUUAUGUGUCCUAUGCUAGGCAUGCUGUAGUGUCUGCAAAGACUAAACAGUCUAAAACAGUUUAUUGGCGUCAUUUAGAAAGGAAUGCGCUAUAAAGAUGGUCUGAGUCUGAUCUGAAAUUAACUGAAAGGUAAUAUAGGUUUUUCUUGAGAUGUGAUCUUUUUGAAGUCCAUAAAUGACUUCUCUUUCUUUCGACAACAUUUUGUUUGCAAGCUCUAAAAAUUAUCUUCAGUGUAAUUUUACAGAGAUAUUUAUUAAUUUUAGGCUGCAGGUGGACUUCGAGAUCCGUCAGACAAAGAGAUUGAACUGUCCCCUCAUGGAAGUUUUACGGAGGUUGUUAUGAAUCCCAAGUUAGAACUCCCUGAUAUAUUUCAACUCCAGUGCAAGCUUAAGGAUAGUUGUUUCGCUUACAUUUAUGUAUGCUUUUAUAUGAUAUUGUACGAAUUUGCUACUAUUUCUGGAGCUUUGAGAAACAAUGUGCACAAAAAUCUUCAUUUUUCUUUUAAAUUUUAAGAUGUAUGAACUUUUUAUUUACAAGAACAAUUCAGGUUUUCUCUGCUCAAUUUUCAAUCUCUAGAAGUUUUUAUUGGUGUGUGGUUGGUCUCUUGUGAGGGUUUUGUUGAAGUUGAUGUUGCAGUCUUUAACUGGCUUCGAAAUUGCUGUCCUGUAAAGAUUUAUUGACAAUCAUUUUUCUCCAAGAGUCAGGUUUCUUGAAACAUUUCCUCUGUCUCUUGACUAUUGAUUCU